AGGAGUAUGAUGAUGGUUAUGGGACUGCUUACGAUGAACAGAGUUACGAUUCCUAUGAUAACAGCUAUAGCGCCCAAGCACAAAGUGGAGCAGAUUACUACGACUAUGGGCAUGGACUGAGUGAAGAUACGUACGACUCCUACGGGCAAGAAGAAUGGACCAACUCAAGACACAAGGCACCUUCAGCAAGGACAACAAAAGGAGUCUACAGAGACCAGCCAUAUGCCAGAUACUGAUUGUACUGUCUGAUGUUGUGAAAUAUCCAAUCUUCACCAGUCCUGUAUACUGUUCAAAGAAAUCCAACUCCUUGGAGAACCAGGAGAACAAAAACCUUAAUCUUCUCAUGUUUUGGGACUUCUGCCACGUUAAUUAUGGACUGCUUAGAGCAUUGUACUUGUCAGCGUACCUAGGCAACGAGACUGGCUUCGGAGUAUGAAAAUCCUAUUCUGUAUCUCUUGUACUAAAGCCUUAAAGUGUAUAACACUAUACACUUCUUCAAAAACUGUAU